UUCAGUUGCUUGACAGAGUUGCCAUUCUUUUACAAUACCAGAAAUGGAUAUUUUUUUUUGGUUUAUCAAAAUAACCAUUCAUAAACAUAAAGAAAAUUAAAAAUUCAAUGUAUAAAUUAUUAAACGAAUUUAAAUUCAUGAAAGGCAAACUCAAAGAAGAAUAGAUUGUAUGAAGGCGACACAAAUAGAUUAUCUUCUGGCAUCACUGUAGUGUUUAGUUGAAAACUAAAAUGUUCAAAUCUGCGUUUAAAAAAAAAGCAAAUACUUUUCAUGUUUUCAAGGAUCAACUUUUUACUCGCUUUCAUCAAUAAAUCCAAUCUCCAAAGAAAUCCAUCUUCAAUAACACACAAUGUAUUAUCAAUUUAUUAAAGUAACAACAUUCUCUGAAAGGUCCAAGGAAUAUUACAUGAGUGAGAAACUGCACACUGAGAAUUCCAUACAAACUAUCGGAAAAAUAUGUUACGAGGAUGGCAAAAUCUUCUUAGAAUCCCUUCGUGAUGAGAAAAAGACGCCUUUGAAUAUUAUUAACGAAAAAACGCCCGAAGAUGGAACUUAUGUAAAUUUGUUUGGAAUGUUUAGUUUCUUCAGCGAUAGCGGUUUGUCCAAGAGGUAUAAUUUUGAGAACCCAGACGAUAACGAGGAUUUUAUACCCAUACUGAAUGUGGAAUUUUGGAAUGACAUAGAAGGUUUGCCACAGGCCGAAAUGUUGGAGGAAAUUUUUUAUGAUCUCUUCAAAGACGAAUGAAUUUUUCUUGUAGCUAGUGUGUUGUACUUUUCUAGCAAGUGUUUUGUACUGUUGAAUUAUUAAUAAAUUUAUUUUUUAUACACUA